AGUGAACGCUGGCGGUAGGCCUAACACAUGCAAGUCGAACGGCAGCACAGUAAGAGCUUGCUCUUACGGGUGGCGAGUGGCGGACGGGUGAGGAAUACAUCGGAAUCUACUUUUUCGUGGGGGAGAACGUAGGGAAACUUACGCUAUUACCGCAUACGACCUACGGGGGAAAGCAGGGGACCUUCGGACCUUGGGCGAUUGAAUGACCCGAUGUCGGAUUAGCUGGUUGGCGGGGUAAAGGCCCACCAAGGCGACGAUCCGUAGCUGGGCUGAGAGGAUGAUCAGCCACACUGGAACUGAGACACGGUCCAGACUCCCACGGGAGGCAGCAGUGGGGAAUAUUGGACAAUGGGCGCAAGCCUGAUCCAGCCAUACCGCGUGGGUGAAGAAGGCCUUCGGGUUGUAAAGCCCUUUUGUUGGGAAAGAAAAGCAGCAGGUUAAUACCCCGCUGUUCUGACGGUACCCAAAGAAUAAGCACCGGCUAACUUCGUG
rnacentral:rRNA from 1 species